rnacentral:lncRNA from 1 species
UGGAGACGGGGUUUCACCGUGUUAGCCAGGAUGGUCUCGAGCUCCUGACCUUGUGAUUCGCCCGCCUCAACCUCCCAAAGUGCCUGGCCUUCAUUUUUAUUUUUGAACUUACCUGCCUCACCUCGUUAUGUCUUUAUCUUAUUUUUAAACUUACUCAGUUCACCCACUGUGGAAUUGGGAGUAUAUGGAAGUAUUCCCACCCCCAGUUUUAUAUACCGCCCCAGAGCUGACCAUUCUCGCUCAUUUCCCCGGGUCCUGGCCGACUCGAGUGUGCCUUUCCUUCCGAUCCUGCUCCACACAGAUCUGAGGGAUGCUGCCCUUUCCUUCUCCACCUGCCCCUCCCUCACAUCCAGCCCCACCAGCCUACACGUUAGCUUAAAUAGGGAGCUUUUACAUUCCCCAUGAAAGGGAAUCCAGGGACAGGCUGAGGCAAGAGACCCCCAGUGUUCAUGAGAUGCCAUCUAGAGAAAACACCGUGGUGCUGAAGGCCUAAGUCAGACCCCGGGGAGAGAGGCACCAGGGUGACUUUGGGUGGAGAGUCCUGUGCCUGUUCUACUUCUAUAAAUAUACUCAGGUCAGGCACGGUGGCUCACGCCUGUAAUCCCAGCACGUUGGGAGGCCGAGGCAGGCGGAUCAUUUGAGGUCAGGAGUUCAAGACUAGCCUGGCCAACAUGGUGAAACCCCAUCUCUACUAAAAAUACAAAAAAAUGGCUGGGCACAGUGGCUCACACCUGUAAUCCCAGCAUGUUGGGAGGCCAAGGCAGGCAGAUCAUUUGCGGUCGGGAGUUCAAGACCAGCCUGACCAACAUGGAGAAACCCCGUCUCUACUAAUAAUACAAAAAUUAGCCAGGCAUGGUGGCACAUGCCUGUAAUCCCAGCUACUCGGGAGACUGAGGCAUAAGAAUCGCUUGAACCCAGGAGGCAGAGGUUGCAGUGAGCCGAGAUCACGCCAUUGAACUCCAGCUGGGCAUAAGAGCAAAACUCCAUCUCAAAAAAAAAAAAAAAAAGGAAGAAAUUGCCACAGCCACCUCAGCCUUCAGCCACCACCACCCUGAUCAGUCAGCAGCCACAAACAAGACCUUCCACCAGCAAAGAGAUCCCAACUUCCUCAAGCCUCAGGUGAUUGCUGGCACUUUCUAUCAGUAUCUUAGUUUUUUGUUUGUUUGUUUUUUAAUUUUUGAGACAGAGUCUCACUCUCUUGCCCAGGCUGGAAUGUAGUGGCACCAUCUCGGCUCACUGCAACCUCCGCCUCCCAGGUUCAAGCGAUUCUCUUACCUUAGCCUCCGGAGGAGCUGGGACUACAAGCACGCACCACCACACCCGGCUGAUUUUUUUCCAUUUUUAGUAGAGACGGGGUUUCACCAUGUUGGCCAGGCUGGUCUCGAACUCCUGGCCUCAGGUGAUCCGCCCACCUUGGCCUCCCACAGUGCUAGGAUUACAGGUGUGAGCCACCACCCCCAGCCAUUUUUUUUUUGAGACGAGGUCUUGCUUUGUUGCCCAGACUAGAGUGCAGUGACAUUAUCUCGGCUCACGGCAACCUCUGCCUCCCAGGCUGAAGCAAUCCUCCCACCUCUGUCUCCCUAGUAGCUGGGACCACAGGUGCACACCCCCACACCCGGCUAAUUUUUUGUAUUUUUGGUAGAGACAGGGUUUCACCAUGUUGCCCAGGCUGGUCUCCUGAGCUCAUGCAAUCUGCCCACUUGACCUCCCAAAGUGCUGGGAUUACAGGUGUGAGCCACUGUGCCCAGCCUAUUAUUAUUAUUAUUUAUUGUUUUUUUGGUCUUGAGGGAGGGUAGGGUGGUGGGAGCCCAGUUGGGGAGGGAGUGAGGAGUGGUCAAUAAAGUAUUUUAAAUUGAGGCAUAUGCAUUGUUUUGUAAACAUAAUGUUAUUGCACACCUGACUGCACUGUGGUAUAAACAUAACUUUUAUAUGCAGUGGAAAACCGAAAAAUCCCUCCGACUGGCUUUAUUGCGACAUUUGUGUUAUUGCGGUGUCUAGAACUGAACCGUGGUAACCCAGGCCCGCCUGUGCUAACUUCCAGCACUACCGAGGUUGACGCAGCUAGAUGGUUUUCUCCCCGGCUGGUUGCUGCUUCUCACCCACAGAGGCGGUGGAGCCCUUGGAACUGGGCAGAACACAGGGCUGCCUUGUCACCACUGCCUGGCUGAACCUGAAAUUGGGCCGUUUGACAGAAAGACUUGAAAGGGCCACCAAGUUUCACUCGUUCCAAAGCGCAAAGGUUGGAGUGCAGUGGCGCAAUCUCGGCUCACUGCAACCGUCACUUCUUGGGUUCAAGCGAUUCUCCUGCAUCAGCCUCCCAAGUAGCUGGAAUUACAGGCAUGUGCUUCCACGCCCGGCUAAUUUUUGUAUUUUUAGUAG